CCUACGGGAGGCAGCAGUGAGGAAUAUUGCACAAUGGGGGCAACCCUGAUGCAGCGACGCAGCGUGAGUGAAGAAGGAUGUCGGGACGGAAAGCUCUAUCAGCAGGGAAGAAAAUGACGGUACCUGACUAAGAAGGCCCGGCUAACUACGUGCCAGCAGCCGCGGUAAUACGAAGGGGGCAAGCGUUAUCCGGAUUUACUGGGUGUAAAGGGAGCGUAGACGGCUGCGCAAGUCUGGAGUGAAGUCCCUUGGCUUAACCAUGGAACUGCUGUGGAAACUGUGCAGCUAGAGUGCAGGAGAGGUAAGCGGAAUUCCUAGUGUAGCGGUGAAAUGCGUAGAUAUUAGGAGGAACUCCAGUGGCGAAGGCGGCUUACUGGACUGUACCUGACGUUGAUGCUCGAAAGCGUGGGUAGCAAACAGGAUUAGAUACCCCUGUAGUC
rnacentral:rRNA from 1 species